rnacentral:rRNA from 1 species
AUUGAACGCUGGCGGCAGGCUUAACACAUGCAAGUCGAGCGGGGGAAGGUAGCUUGCUACCGGACCUAGCGGCGGACGGGUGAGUAAUGCUUAGGAAUCUGCCUAUUAGUGGGGGACAACAUCUCGAAAGGGAUGCUAAUACCGCAUACGUCCUACGGGAGAAAGCAGGGGAUCUUCGGACCUUGCGCUAAUAGAUGAGCCUAAGUCGGAUUAGCUAGUUGGUGGGGUAAAGGCCUACCAAGGCGACGAUCUGUAGCGGGUCUGAGAGGAUGAUCCGCCACACUGGGACUGAGACACGGCCCAGACUCCGACGGGAGGGAGCAGUGGGGAAUAUUGGACAAUGGGGGGAACCCUGAUCCAGCCAUGCCGCGUGUGUGAAGAAGGCCUUAUGGUUGUAAAGCACUUUAAGCGAGGAGGAGGCUACUUUAGUUAAUACCUAGAGAUAGUGGACGUUACUCGCAGAAUAAGCACCGGCUAACUCUGUGCCAGCCGCCGCAGUAA